rnacentral:rRNA from 1 species
AUUGAACGCUGGCGGCAGGCCUAACACAUGCAAGUCGAACGAGUGGCGGACGGGUGAGUAAUGUCUGGGAAACUGCCUGAUGGAGGGGGAUAACUACUGGAAACGGUAGCUAAUACCGAAUACAGUAAGAUGUGUCCAGAUGGGAUUAGUUUGUUGGUGGGGUAAUGGCUCACCAAGGCGACGAUGCCUAGCUGGUCAGAGAGGAUGACCAGCCACACGGGAACUGGGACACGGUGCAGCCUCCUACGGGAGGCAGCAGUGGGGAUUAUUGCACAAUGGGCACAAGCGUGAUGCAGCCAUUCGGCGUGUAUGAAGAAGGCCUUCGGGUGGUAAAGGACUUUCAGCGGUGAGGCGUUACCCACAGAAGAAGCACCGGCUAACUCCGUGCCAGCAGCCGCGGUAAUAC